GACAUAAAUUUUUUCAAGUAAGAUUUGAUUUUUUAAUAACGAAUUCAAACUAAGUAAAUGUGUGCGUAUAGCAACGUACCUUGGAGUUCUGACCUUGACAUUCCAAAUUUUUUUUUAUAUAACACGAUCCAUUCAACCGGACUGCUAACUCUCGAAACUGGCUUUUAAAGAGAGCAUUCCAUUCUUACAGUUGGAAUUCCAAUUGAAAUUGUCGACUUUGUACGGUUUACCUCCAUUUGCAACUUAAAAAUUGCACUUAACUGAUUUUGUUCAUUCGGUUUUUUUUUUAUUUACCGCGGUAUAUGAAAUUAUUAAGAUUAAAAAAUUAGCUCAAUCGAUCGAUACAUUCUAGGGCUGUGAAAAUAUUAAGAAACGUGUGAGAAAUCAGGUAGAUUAAAUUAAAAUCAGAGAUACAGAUUAUUGGAAAAGAAUACGACACUCAAAUUUCUUGUAGUUCGGCACUUCAGGCAAAGUGGUGUCGCUAGUUUCAAAUAUUGUAAUGGCGAAUGAUCAUUAGGUCUAGCAAACUGGUCUGCUGGUCUGGAUAAACAGGUAUAAAUGGCGACGGUUGGUUGAAUGUGACAGUACUAUGACAGUACAAUUGAACGUAUUUAUUGUAAAAAUUUGUAAAAAUCUUCGUUAUCGUGGUUUUUCGUUGUUUGGCCAAAUGAGCGAGUACUAACAAUGGGAGACUUAUUUGAUAUUGCAAAUUUAAUCACUACUGUCGGUGUUGAUAGAAUAAAAAUUAAACCGGAGCCUGGACUGCCAGAAAAAUCGUCGAAUGAAAUACUGACAGAGUUAUUUAGCACGUUUGAUGCCGAAGAAGCGAUACCAUCACCAGAGAAUACCGAUCAACAAGUUCCAAAUGCCAGUAUUAAAACUGAAAAACUCAAGAAGUCUCAGAUCAAGAAAAAGAAGACCAAGAAGAAACACAAGCACAAGGAUAAAAAGCAUAAAAAGAAAUCGAAACGUAAUUCCUCUGAAAGUAACAGCGAUCCUGAAAGUUCUAAUGUUAAAAAGAAAAAGAAGCAUAAAAAGAAGACGAAAAGAAAGCAUGAAAAUGACUCGAGUAGGUCAUCAGAUUCAGAUGAGCCUAAGAAUAAAGUGUCAAAGCUUAAUAGUUCUUGUAACAAUGUAAACAAGAAAAGUUAUAAUAAGGAUAAUGAAUUUGACAAACAAAAUACAGUUGCAUCAACAAAUUUGGAAGAAGUAUUAUCAAUUAAACAGGAGCCACAGAUGGAAAGCACUUUUGUGAAAAGUUCAGAAAGUCCUCAAUUGCCUCCUAUUUCAAAAAAGCUUGAAGAGGAUCCCGAAGAAUUGCUGAUACCUAAAAUUCUUGAAAAAUCAAAGCAAGCUGCUCAAGGAAAAAUCUUAAUAAAAGAUCUCAAGAACAGUACAGUUUAUAACGCGACAGUGAAGGAAAUAGAAAACAAGGUAAAGGAAAAAGCAGCUAGAAUGGAAGAUGGCGAAAUAUCUGAUAGUAGUACAGAUAACAGAACUCCAACGUUAAGUCCUAGCCCAUUACAAUAUACUUCGCAUAGAUCGCCGACGUUAAGUCCGACAUUGGAUAAAAUGGAAAAUAGAGUGCUAAGUCCUACAAAAUGGGGGAAAACUGCAAGAAAUGAUUUGAGAUUGAUUUUGAGGGAAAAAGAGAAAAAAAGACUCGAAGGUAUGGAUAAAAGGACAGACGAUGUAGAAAAGUCAAAGUUGUACAUGGAUAGCGAAUACAAAGAAAAAGUAUACAGAGAUGGUAAACGUAAUCACAAUUGUCACUCGCAAGAAAAAAGAAGAUCCGAAUCUCGAACGCGCUCGGACUCCCAUAGAAGUAGAAGCAGAGGGAGAGAUAAACGAAGAGAUAGGAGUAAAGAUAGGCACGAAAAAAGUCGAAGCAACGAUAGACGAGAUUCUGGAAAAAGUAGAGAAAGGCGAAGACAUAGAAGUCGUAGCGACGAUAGAAGCAGAGAUAAAUAUGUACGAGGACGAAGUAGAAGUAAAGAACGGAAGGAAAGAAUAGAAAUUGAUAAGAAGAAAUUAUUAGAAAUUGCAAGGAGAAAUGCAAUAAACAUGAUUAAACAAGGAACACUACCAUUAGCUCAACAAGACAAAGCAAUUGCCGCGAUACAAGCUGGUGGAAAAACGGUAGAUGAACUCACAGACUUUUGUAAAUCAUUAUCAAAAUCUGAAGCAUUAGGUGAACUUUCUAGUAUCUCAUCUGAAGAGGAUGGAAGUGAAUCUGAAAAAGGUUUUCACCAUCCUUUUUUGCUCAAAGGGCGACCUAGUUCUAUUAUUAUGAAUAUUCGGGAUGCUAAACAAUUACCGACAAAAACAUUCCAAGAAAAAACAGUAGAAUCAUCGAAUCAACUACGUUUACAAUUUCCUGUAUCGAGCGGCCAACAUCAUAGAAAAAGUGAGAAUGAAUGGGUACCGGUAAUACCAAAAAAACCAGAACCAAAAAAACAGUUUGUACCAGCUUCUACGCCGAGCGAAUCUCCUCCUGUUAUACCUCCGCCUGCACCUGUUCAGCCAGUGCAAGCAGCAACAGUUUUUACCCAACCAGUAACAACAGAGUUGAUAGAUAUCGGCUCGAUAGUAUCUCAACGAUUAGCAGCAAUGAGAAAAUUAAGAGAAAAUCCAAAUGACGUAUGUGCUCAAAAUGAAAUGUAUCGUGCACAAAACGAGAUGAAAACGUGGGCUGAAAGUAAGCAGAUGCCAGGUCAGUUUACUGGCAGUACAGGAGCCAAAGUGCUCUCGCCUGCAGAACUUACUUCAGGUUACCAAGCCUGGGCUCGUAAGGUAACAGUAUUAUUUACAAUCUGCCUGAUUAUGUCUUAUUGUUCGUCAUUCCACGUUUAUUUUGCCAUUGAAACUUAUGAUAGCAGCCCUUAAUCUAACUAUAUAUUUACAUGUCAGAUGAUUGAUAAAAUCCUAUCUGAGAUGUGAAUACAUAUCUCUUGUAUACAUCACAGUUUUCUUUUUUUUGUUUUUGUUUUUGUUUUUUUUAACAAUGCAUUACCUGAUACUGAUAUUGCCUGUAACAAGUUUUCAGGUACAGUCUCUAUCAAGAUCUGUUACAUUGAUCUGAUAGGAACUGUGGUGUAGGCACAGACUAUUUCUUGUAUAGAGGUAGACUCUGUGCCUGCACGGACACAGGAGCACCGUUAUGUUAUACAUCGUGUACAAUAUGUGAUAAAACUGUACACUGGUUUAUUAGGUGAAUAAUAAACGAUUGAUGUCAUUCAUUACAAAUGUAAUAAAUUUAAGGCACAUCAGAGAACGAAAAUAUUUUCUUAUAUAAUGGGCUCUUGUGAGAUUAUUGCUAAUUAUCGUCAGCAUUCCUAUCAUAGGACUUCAUCAAGCGUUACUAUAUCUUUCUAUCAUAAAGCUGGGAUAUUUAGCAUUAGUCUGCAUCCACCUGAGGGUUUGUUACAGGCACGUAGCUACAUCAGAGAAGAAACACCUUCAGCGGCGUGAUGUCGAAUUUAUGAUUUCUUUGGACCAAUUAGUAUCAGCACAACCUGUUUCGGGUGGGAUGGGUAUGGCUUUACUACAGAAGAUGGGUUGGCGACCAGG